GUCUACUUUGCUCUACUGCCAAAUAUUUCAGUGAUUUUCUCACUUGCAUUCUUUGGAACAGUGUAUGAAAACACCUCCAUGUUGCAGAUAAUUUUGACAAAUAUAUAGCAAAGGUUUUUCUGCAGUGCUGCUAUGUUAGAUUAUAUAAAAGUAGACCAGGAAAUUCAAAACGAUCUGCUAACAACACAAGCAUGGUGGUAUGCAAUUUUGAAACCUCUUCAUAUUUCUUUUUCAGCUAUGAACCUGAACCAGUGUGACUCUUCUCCCUGAAGUCACUUAGAAGGCAUUUUGACAUUUCCACUGCUUUCUAAAGAGAAUUGCAACUGUAACAGAAACUGGAAAAUAUUCAACAUGACACAUUCCUGACAUAUACCCUUCUGGUAGAAGAAACAAGUGGUGGCAGAGCCCUCGUAUGAAUUUCACGAGUUGGAACUGCAGAAUAAAGAUAUAUGCAAGUUUUCUUCAAAAAUGUGCUACUCUGUAAAAAACCAGUGGUGGUUAAGAAACCCUUACGGACAGUACUGCUGAUGACUUGAUACCCUACAGACACCAUGGUGUCCUUUGGAGGCCCUGCCAGCGACAUUCUAUUUAUGAGACCAUCAUUGAGUCACGGAGUUAUUUCUUCUAAACAAAUCUGAUGGGAAAACCCAUGACUCAGAGUUGGUAAGUGGUAUUACGGUGACUGCCUUUAUCUUGCUGAAUGAUUUCUGGUAGUAGUAAUCACAAAGCUCUGUGUGUUUUCUGUACAGGAGCAAACACAGAAUAUUAAGUAGGAAAGGUAGGGAGAGUUUUAAGUUACACAGCUAAGUACAGAGCUGGUACUACUCUUAAAAUGAGCAACAUUUCUAGUGAAAUCAGUAUUUUGGUGUGGUAGAAAUACAGCAUGAACAUUCCUAGUGUCGCAUUCUGUCAGAAAAUAAAUAUAGUCUAUGUUUACAAUCCAUUGAUAAACUAACUUAUUAACUAAUUAGAUCCUUGUUAAUUACUCAUUGACUUACUCAGCUUGCAUUCUAAUCUAUUUUUAUUAGCAUAAAUAUUUCAGAGCACAGAACAACCACUUUUCAGCACAACUUUAGAAUUCUGUAUAUACCUGUCAGAACAUUAAAUGUAGGGAUAUCUGUACACAUUUAAUAAAUACAGCUUAGAAUUACAAAAUAAAAUUAGUAAUUUUUGGUACAGGUAUAAAUUUUUUUAGAUUAAUAGUGAUUCUGCCUCAGAUGCUAUUUCUCCCAUACCAAUGGCUCCCUCUUCAGGCUGUUCCUAAAAUAUGCUGCCUCUUUUCAUUUUGUUAGAACUAUUCCCACUUACAAAACUCCAGCUCUCAUAGUCAUGUCUUUUUCUCCACUAUGUUUCCUCACAGUAGGUAACUGAUGAAGUAACUGAUGGACCAGGCAGGCUCACUUGGUGUUACUUGAGACCCAGACCUACAAAUCUUUUAAGGCACAUGAAAGGAAUUUUUUAAACUGCAGAGAAACUGAGCUUAAAGGACAUCAAGAGGGUGUUUUAUCUCUUUUCCCCAUGCUGAAAAAUAUCCAGAAGAAUCACAUUGUUCUUAAUUGUAUUAUUCUUACAACUGCUAGUGGUUUCUGUAGACUUUCAAACUAUUAAAUCUAAAUAUGUAUCUAAAAUCCCAAAGAUACCUUUACUACAAAUUUAGCCAUAUUCUGUGUGUAUUUCCUAUCAUACACAGAACAACUAAAUUCUGUAGUAUAGCCCUUAGGCAGAGGAAAAGGAGCUAGCCCUCUUCACUGAUGUCCUGUGUGGUACUUCAGCAUUUUAAUUUGUUCAUUCAUUUAAAAUCUUUCCCAAAACACUGAUAAAGUCUUGGGCGCUCCACUUCGCUUCAAUGAAAGGCUCAGGCGACAGCAACUGCUUCAUUUUCAACCCAUUCCUACAGUCUUUACAACCCACGACAGAAUUGGCAUUGCUGUGCCAUAAAUUUAGCAGAUUAGCCAGCGACUAACUGGCUGAAUAGAACUCUUGUCACUUUUAGUUGGUAAGCUCGUGCACACUGCAUGACUGGAAAAAGUCAGUGAACUGCAGAUGUAUUCCCAGUGAGGUGUUCUCUCCUAGUGACUCUGUGUGACGGCCUUGAAGAAUGCUAAAUGCUGUUUAAUUAAGCUACUCUGUCUAUUAAAAAAUGUUGUGUAAUCAGGACGUAAAUGGGAAACCUGAAUUUUUAAAAACCAUAAGCAACAGUGAAAAAGCAACUGCAUUUCACCACAGAAGUCUGAAGACUCUUUAGAUGACUCUUUGCUUUGAUAUUGAUCAUGUAACUUGUCUCAAGGAAGAAACAAAGAACACUUAGGGUUUCAUCAUCACAGUUUCUUCACGAAUUUAUAAAGUACAAAAUACUU